rfam:Flavobacterium sp. LM5 Flavobacterium_sp_LM5_contig1, whole genome shotgun sequence.
CCCUAGCCCUGAUGGAAGCGGCAUCCUUUGCUGCCGGGGUUCGGCAGUAAAGAUAUAGCGUACAGCAGGAAAUAGC